GACGAACGCUGGCGGCGUGCUUAACUCAUGCAAGUCGAACGGAAAGGCCCUGCUUUUGUGGGGUGCUCGAGUGGCGAACGUGUGAGUAACACGUGAGUAACCUGCCCUUGACUUUGGGAUAACUUCAGGAAACUGGGGCUAAUACCGGAUAGGAGCUCCUGCUGCAUGGUGGGGGUUGGAAAGUUUCGGCGGUUGGGGAUGGACUCGCGGCUUAUCAGCUUGUUGGUGGGGUAGUGGCUUACCAAGGCUUUGACGGGUAGCCGGCCUGAGAGGGUGACCGGCCACAUUGGGACUGAGAUACGGCCCAGACUCCUACGGGAGGCAGCAGUGGGGAAUAUUGCACAAUGGGCGGAAGCCUGAUGCAGCAACGCCGCGUGCGGGAUGACGGCCUUCGGGUUGUAAACCGCUUUCGCCUGUGACGAAGCGUGAGUGACGGUAAUGGGUAAAGAAGCACCGGCUAACUACGUG
rnacentral:rRNA from 1 species